UCAUUUUUUUCUCUGUUUUGUAGUUGAAUUCUUGAGGUGAUGCUUUGAAGUUGCCUAUGGUGGGUCGCUGUAUUGCCAGUUUGUAGAACCCUGACGACAUGACUACCUCUCCAAGGAAUCUUGAAGAUAAUACAUAGUGACUGUCAAUUUUGUGUCAAUUUUGCUAGGCCUAGGAGUGCCCAGAAAGCUAGCAAAAUAUUUCUCAGUGCUUGUUCUGGAGGAGAUUGAGAUCUGAAUCAGUGUACUGAAUAAAGAAGAUCCACCAUCAUCAGUAUGGGACAUCGUGCAAUCUGUUAAGGACCAAAACAACAACAAAAAAAGACUUUAUCAGAGGAAGAGAGUGUGGCCAUCUCCUCACUUCGUAACAGUUGAUCUUUCUUGACAUCACUAUGUCAUGAGCCGCCUGCUGUAUAAACUUCAUGAUUUGGUUCUGGGAGAGAAGGAGGCACGCAAGAUAUGUAACCUGACAGGAACAGAUGUUACUUGGUGUUUGGAGCCCUCUGAGUACAGUAUGAGUACGACGUCACAACAAGGCAACAACAAUAAGAAUAUUACAACAAUAAGAAUAUUAAACACAAAAUUUUUCUUCUGUGAAACCACCUGACCAGCGAAACUUAAACUCAUAAAUAAUUGAAAGGUAUUCUACAAGCAGUGGAGACCAAACAGAAGGGCUGCAUAAAUGAGCACUACAAGAAAUUACGAAAGAUGGAGCUAUCAGUCAUUUGGAGGGCCCCUGUGGAGGUCUGUUCACAAAACUUCAGAUCAAAGUCAUUUCCCCACUGGUUUGGGAUUUAAAACUUCGUACCUACUACUGGAACCAUUAGUUCAAAUGCCUCUGGGAUUCAGGCAAGUCAAAUAAAUGUAUGAAUCAGUCUAGUCUCUACCCCACUAAAACGUAACUCCAUGCAAACUUUUAUAAGCACUCUGCUUAUAGCAUUCUGAGUCCUUGGCUUUUGACCUUACUUUAAUUGACUUUGGCUUUUAAGAAAGAAAUGUCAGUCUGAUCUUACAUCUAAUGAAAUUGUUGCAGCGAUUUCUACACACUAUCGUAUCGGUAACAUUGCAAAGGAGGAAGAGUCUUUUGGUAUUGGUUUUACUUUGUCUUCACUAAGAACUACAAGAUGAUUCUAAUUAGAGCAAUUCUGCUUCUGGGUUUAUUGCUUUUUAAUUCUGAUUCUAGGUUUAUUACCUGAACCUGUGCCAGACCUUAGUUUCUUAACUGGUUUGGUUAAACAUUCUGUCAAACUUGAACUGAGUUGAUAUUCCUGACCAACUAUUUUACUGAACAUUAUUUCACAGCACAUUUAUAAUCUAAGAAUAUUUUAAAAAUAAAUUACAAUUCAAGUUUAGCUAAAAAAGUAACAUUUAAAUAUCAUGAAUUAUUAUUAGAUCCUAGUAAAGACCUGAACAAUGCUUGCCUCUACUACUUUUACUUCAAAUAAGAAACAAAAAUGUAGGGAAAAAUUAGACAUAUGCAGUUUAUAAUAAAAAAUUAGAUACAGCACUCAGUAUUUCUGCUCAAAAGCUUUUUUCUUUUUCAAUAUUCUCUGCUAUUUUUUUGCACCACUAGCUUAUUUGACCAUUACUUUCACUUAAUAUUUAUUACACGUUGUUACAGAAUCCUAAUAAAAAUAUUUUAAUUUCCGCUCAGUAGUACCGGUCAGUCAAAAGGCCUCCAGAUACAGACUUGCACAGGAAACUACAGUGAGCUCCUUUUCAACUGGAUCCUUCAGAUCUCCAGUGCAUGGAUAGACCUUCUGCACUCUUCCAUACCAGACUCUGUUGCCAGCCAUUGUAAUUUUCAAGAAAAAUUCCCUUGAGUGAUUACAGUAUUAUAGAAUCAAAAGAUAGCAAUGUUUGUAUGAUUUUUAGAAUACAUAGCAAAAGUUACUUCUAAUUUUUAACAAUUUGCAUAUAUACAUUACCAGCACAAAUAAUUCCUAUAUUUUCCAUUUUUCACACUUGUUGUGAGCCAUGAGAUUAGGGCAUGGCAAGGAGGCUGGAAAUAGGAUGUGACCUGACAGUCAUGGAAAACUGUCAAGUCACAGUGGGACUUAUGCACACGUCAUUUUCAGAAAACCCAGAUUUUACAUCAAAAGAAGAUACAAAGUUCAGUGACCAUUGACUUCACUACCACUGCAGUGUUGUUCUUGCAGUGGUCAUUGUCUGUGCAGGACAGAUCUUCACUUCUCUUCAGAGCACUUCUUCAUCUCUUACUUUCCUUUUGUAUUUUAUGCAAAAUAUAAAACAAAGUUUCAUAACAA